AUCUGCCUGAAAAUGUUUCAUUGCAAGGGAAGUAGCAACAUCGUAGCUACAGUAAAAACAGCACUCGAGAUAGCCUGCUGCAUUCAUUUUAUCCACUGCUCCCUUUUUUUCCUAUGAGGGGAAUUAGCUCAAAUGGUAGAGCGCUCGCUUAGCAUGCGAGAAGUAGCGGGAUCGAUGCCCGCAUUCUCCAAAAGUUUUCCCGUCCCAGCGUGUGGCUAAAUUUAUGUAAACGUUGGCCUGUUCCCCUCCCCUUUGGCACCAGCUCCUGACACGACAAAAGAGGAUUGCUCUGAAGCGUUCCUGCUGGAUACAGAUCUGCCAAGCACACCUCUGCCACUGCCCUUGAAAGAUUCUCCACUGGGCUCAUCAAGAAAUGUGGUUGCCUUUUCAUCUUAGACCACGGCCCAUGGACAGAGCCCAUUAGAACUGCCAGUGAUGUCCUACUGGUCAAGCACCACGGGGAGGAAGUGACCCUGAAGUGGGCGGAUCUGCUUUGCUGCAGAGAGUUUGUUUGUUACUGCAGAGAGUACCGUAAUGCCACAUCCCCUUCCACCUGCACUUACACAGCAGAAAACCUCACCAAUUCAAGGAUACCAUUUGAGGAUUUUGCUGCGGCCGCCUUCUUUCAAUGGGAGCUGGAGGCCUCGAUGCAGAGGAAGGAGUGAGGAAUGGGCGAACUGAGAAAAACCUUAGAGCAGAAUCCCUCCGGCCGUCUGUACAGGUUCUACCACCAGCCGCUGAAACAAGGCCCCAACAGCCCUCACACACAUACCGGCUUUCCUUGAGUUGGAGGAAAAUAUCUACUGCCUAGCCAAAGUGUUUUCCCUGUACCUUGCCUUUUAUGAGACUGAAAGAUAGAGAUGGAUGGUGAAGAAGGGGGGGCGGGGGUGACUCUACAGACACACACACACAGAAAUAAAUAGGAGCUGAAAAUCUAUUUCCAUUAAUGGAAGUGGUUUGGACUCGUUUGAUUUGUAUUUAUUUCACAGGUACUGUCCAUUCUUUUACAUUACUGUACAUACAUUGCUGGAUAUCACUGUAUAUAUUAUUGUCCAUUACUAUUUUGUGUAAAUGUUGCACAAAGGCCAAACGUUUAUUCUGAUCGUGGUGAAUAUGUCUUGUAUUAUAAACAAAUUGCUAUAGUUAGUGUGUGAAUAAGUUUGUUGUAUUAAGGGUUGUGCUCCAACACUAUCAUAACUAUGGCUUUGAUUUCAUUCAAAUCAACCUCAAAAUAAUCUUCUCUAUGAGCUGCUUUAGAGUUGUCUUUAUGAGUAAGAUACAUGCCUUUCCAUUGUGCUCUAACACUCAUAAAUUUGCCUUUGAUUUCAUUCUA